rnacentral:rRNA from 1 species
GGCCGCAGCCGCGGUAAUACCGGCAGCCCAAGUGAUGGCCGCUGUUAUUGGGCCUAAAGCGUCCGUAGCUGGCCGCACAAGUCCGUCGGGAAAUCCGCCCGCUCAACGGGCGGCCGUCCGGCGGAAACUGCACAGCUUGGGACCGGAAGGCUCGAAGGGUACGGCCGGGGUAGGAGUGAAAUCCUGUAAUCCCGUCCGGACCACCGAUGGCGAAAGCACUUCGAGAAAACGGAUCCGACAGUGAGGGACGAAAGCUACGAUCGCGAACCGGAUUAGAAACCCCAGUAGUCC